rnacentral:tRNA from 1 species
GCGUUGGUGGUGUAAGCCGUGGCAUCGCUGCUCGUAAAGCAGAAGGUGCAGGUUCGAUUCCAGCCUGGCGCA